rnacentral:misc_RNA from 1 species
AACGCACAUUGCGCCCUUUGGUAUUCCGAGGGGCAUGCCUGUUCGAGCGUCAUUUCAACCCUCAAGCUCUGCUUGGUAUUGGGCUCCGUCCUCACUGCGGACGCGCCUCGAAGACCUCGGCGGUGGCUGUUCGGCCCUCAAGCGUAGUAGAAUACACCUCGCUUUGGAGCGGUCGGCGUCGCCCGCCGGACGAACCUUCUGAACUUUUCUCAAGGUUGACCUCGGAUCAGGUAGGGAUACCCGCUGAACUUAA